UCCUACGGGAGGCAGCAGUGGGGAAUAUUGGACAAUGGGGGCAACCCUGAUCCAGCCAUGCCGCGUGAGUGAUGAAGGCCCUAGGGUUGUAAAGCUCUUUCAGCGAGGAGGAUAAUGACGUUACUCGCAGAAAAAGCCCCGGUUAACUUCCUGCCACCACCCGCGGUAAUACAAAGGGGGCUAGCGUUUUUCGGAAUCCACUGGGGCGUAAAGCCGCACGUAGCGGAUUGAAUAAUUUAGGGGUGAAAAUCC
rnacentral:rRNA from 1 species